AUUGAACGCUGGCGGCAUGCCUAACACAUGCAAGUCGAACGGUAACGGGCCUUUCGGGCGCCGACGAGUGGCGGACGGGUGAGUAACGCGUAGGAAUCUGCCCACGGGUGGGGGACAACCCGGCGAAAGCCGGGCUAAUACCGCAUAAGACCUUAGGGUGAAAGCGGGGGACCUUCGGGCCUCGCGCCGGUGGAUGAGCCUGCGUGGGAUUAGCUAGUUGGCGGGGUAAGGGCCCACCAAGGCGACGAUCCCUAGCUGGUCUGAGAGGACGGCCAGCCACACCGGGACUGAGACACGGCCCGGACUCCUACGGGAGGCAGCAGUGGGGAAUAUUGGGCAAUGGGCGCAAGCCUGACCCAGCAAUGCCGCGUGUGUGAAGAAGGCCUGCGGGUUGUAAAGCACUUUGGGCGGGGAAGAAGGGGCUUGGGUUAAUACCCCCGGUCCUUGACGUUACCCGCGGAACAAGCACCGGCUAACUCCGUGCCAGCAGCCGCGGUAAUACGGAGGGUGCGAGCGUUAAUCGGAAUUACUGGGCGUAAAGCGUGCGUAGGCGGAGCGGUCAGUCCCGCGUGAAAGCCCCGGGCUCAACCUGGGAACUGCGCGGGAUACUGCCGUUCUGGAGUGCGGGAGAGGGCGGUGGAAUUUCCGGUGUAGCAGUGAAAUGCGUAGAGAUCGGAAGGAACACCAGUGGCGAAGGCGGCCGCCUGGACCGACACUGACGCUGAGGCACGAAAGCGUGGGGAGCAAACAGGAUUAGAUACCCUGGUAGUCCACGCUGUAAACGAUGCGGUCUAGCCGUCGGGGGCAAUCGGGCCUUCGGUGGCGCAGCU
rnacentral:rRNA from 2 species